rnacentral:rRNA from 1 species
AUUGAACGCUGGCGGCAGGCCUAACACAUGCAAGUCGAACGAGUGGCGGACGGGUGAGUAAUGUCUGGGAAACUGCCUGAUGGAGGGGGCUAACUACUGGAAACGGUAGCUAAUACCGCAUACUAUCGGAUGUGCCCAGAUGGGGUUAGCUAGUAGGUGGGGUAAAGGCUCACCUAGGCGACUAUCCCUAGCUGGUCUGAGAGGAUGACCAGCCACACUGGAACUGAGCCACGGUCCAGACUCCUACGGGAGGCAGCAGUGGGGAAUAUUGCACAAUGGGCGCAAGCCUGAGGCAGCCAUGCCGCGUGUAUGAAGAAGGCCUUCGGGUUGUAAAGUACUUUCAGCGGGGAGGCGUUACCCGCAGAAGAAGCACCGGCUAACUCCGUGCCAGCAGCCGCGGUAAUUC